GACGAACGCUGGCGGCGUGCUUAACACAUGCCAGUCGAACGGAAAGGCCCUGCUUUUGUGGGGUGCUCGAGUGGCGAACGGGUGAGUAACACGUGAGUAACCUGCCCUUGACUUUGGUAUAACUUCAGGAAACUGGGGCUAAUACCGGAUAGGAGCUCCUGCUGCAUGGUGGGUGUUGGAAAGUUUCGGCGGUUGGGGAUGGACUCGCGGCUUAUCAGCUUGUUGGUGGGGUAGUGGCUUACCAAGGCUUUGACGGGUAGCCGGCCUGAGAGGGUGACCGGCAAAAUUGGGACUGAGAUACGGCCCAGACUCCUACGGGAGGCAGCAGUGGGGAAUAUUGAAAAAUGGGCGGAAGCCUGAUGCAGCAACGCCGCGUGCGGGAUGACGGCCUUCGGGUUGUAAACCGCUUUCGCCUGUGACGAAGCGUGAGUGACGGUAAUGGGUAAAGAAGCACCGGCUAACUACGUG
rnacentral:rRNA from 1 species